ensembl:lncRNA
CCUCGUUUCACCCCACAAGUCAGAAGCCAUGGCAGCUUCCAACUGGAAGGCACAGAGGAGGCUUUGCAGCCAAACGGUUAAAGCAGAAUGUUUUCUCUGGAGGCUCGGAGUGGAGCUGGGGCACUGCCACCCUCCCAGCCACGCCGAGGUGGUGGGACGCGUGACACCGCAAUUACACACGCGGAAGAAAGGAAGGCUGAGAUAUAGGCCUGCAUGGGAAGGCUGCAUGACGCUGAACCCAAUGCGAAAUGAGCGUUUCCUGCUUUGAAGUAAUGUAAUGUCAGGAAUCCGGCUGGUUGGAAACACCCUGCUUGUCCGGGGCUCCAGGUGAACCAGUGCACCUCCCGGAGGCCGCGAGGGACCGUCUGCAACUCAGGCCAAACUGGAGAGACUUUCCAGAGCCACUACUGCAGCUGCACUCAGCCCGACAAGAGGCUGCGCGCACAGCGGGUGCUGCCCUGUGGGCUCCAUGGCUGCAGGAGGAAAGCAGAUCCUCGCCGAGAGCUCCGCACAUCCAAUGCACAGACCUGCACAGAUACCCUUCAUCCCAUACAAGGAGAUGGCCAGAGGGGAGAAGGAACUCACCAGCGUUCGCUCCCCUCAGUUUCUGAGUAGGCAAUUAUCUUAGAAGAGACAAAUGUCAAGAUAGCUUUCACCCUGAGAGGAGAUGAGAUCUCCAAGCCUGCAAAUCCAAAGGGUCUUAGGAGGGCACCCCCGUCAAACCUUG